GACGAACGCUGGCGGCGUGCCUAACACAUGCAAGUCGAGCGAUGAAGUUCUUCGGAACGGAUUAGCGGCGGACGAGUGAGUAACACGUGGGCAACCUGCCUUGUAGAGGGGAAUAGCCUUCCGAAAGGAAGAUUAAUACCGCAUAAUGUUAUGUCUUCGCAUGAAGAUAUAAUUAAAGGAGUAAUCCGCUGCAAGAUGGGCCCGCGGCGCAUUAGCUAGUUGGUGAGGUAACGGCUCACCAAGGCAACGAUGCGUAGCCGACCUGAGAGGGUGAUCGGCCACAUUGGGACUGAGACACGGCCCAGACUCCUACGGGAGGCAGCAGUGGGGAAUAUUGCACAAUGGGGGAAACCCUGAUGCAGCAACGCCGCGUGAGUGAUGACGGCCUUCGGGUUGUAAGGCUCUGUCUUCAGGGACGAUAAUGACGGUACCUGAGGAGGAAGCCACGGCUAACUACGUGCCAGCCGCCGCAGUAACAC
rnacentral:rRNA from 1 species